GGGGAGGACCGAGGGUCCUGCUGCGGGUCACCCCAGGCUUUGCGGGAACCGGGGCGGACGCCCUCACGGGGGACCAGGCCCGGGAGGCCAGUUACUUCCUAUGGGCCCUGCGCUUCUUGAGCUGAGUCUGGGCCCCGAGCACCAGCGGAAGCGAAGUUGUCCAGUGCACUGAUCUCUGGAAAACCCAACUCAUCCACAACGAAAUUGGCUCGGGACCAAGCCCGUACCCUCGGUGGAAAACAGGCUCGCGGUUCCGAGGCGCUUUAAGUUAGCACUGCCUGGGGCUUCAACCCCUUCUCCAGACUUGACUUCUCAGAGACGACAGCCCAAGGGCGCUUCCCGCAUCUGUUGCUGCGACUGUGGGGAAGACGGAAGAGGGACGGAGUGUUUCCCUGGACCGCAGGGACUCGUCCCGCCAGCGACCCGGAACCUUCGGGACCCGCGGGCCAAGAAAAAACCUUUCCCUUGCUUUCCUGCCGGGGCUGCAGAAGCCGGGCGAAUUCAGCAGGAGGGAGUCAUGACUAGGGAAAAAAAUAUCGAAAAAAGUCUACUUAUGGGAGCAAAAAUGGAGAAAAAAGAUUUGAGAAGCACUAGUCUAAAAGAAAAAAAUAGAAUUAAGGUAAAGCUGAUAGAAACUCCAGGUUUCCAGCUGACCCCACUGACUGCAUACGAGGAUCUCCACCCAGCCCAGGGCAAACUAAUAUUUUGGUCAACUUGCAGAGGAGCUCUGGAACAGGAACACACACAUAC